rnacentral:rRNA from 1 species
UCGCCUGUUUUCAAAAACAUGUCCUCAUGACUAUAAUUUGAGGUCUGGCCUGCCCACUGAAUAUCAAUUUGAAGGGCCGCGGUAUUUUGACCGUGCAAAGGUAGCAUAAUCAUUAGUCUUUUAAUUGAAGGCUGGAAUGAAUGGUUGGACGAGGUAUUGACUGUCUCAGUGUAAAUGUUAUUAGAAUUUAACUUUUAAGUCAAAAGGCUUAAAUAAUUUUAAAGGACGAGAAGACCCCAUAGAGCUUUAUAUUGGAUAAUUAUGACUCAUUUGGGUGUAUUGAUGUAAUAGUUUAUAAAAUAUUGUGUUGGGGUGACAGGAAGAUAGAGUAAACUCUUUUUAAUUAAUAAUACAUUGAUUUAUGAUUAGUUGAUCCAUUAUUAGUGAUUAUAAGACUAAGUUACCUUGGGGAUAACAGCGUAAUCUUUUUUGAGAGUUCUUAUCGACAAAAAGGGUUGCGACCUCGAUGUUGGAUUAAGGGUAAUUUUGGGUGUAGAUGUUCAAAGUUUAGGUCUGUUCGACCUUUAGAUCCUUACAUGAUCUGAGUUCAAACCGGAGA